AUGCUUCUCCUAAAGACUAAGCCAUGCAUGCCUCCGAAUAGAAGAGCAUUCUCUCUGAAUCUGCGAACGGCUCCGCACACCAGUUGUAAACUAUAGCAAGUCCGCAUGAUCACGGGCAACCGUGGUUGUGCUCACAGGGAUAACCCUGGUAAUUCUGAGGCUAAUACAAGAACGUAAAACUCGGUUGACCGGUUCGCUGGAAGGCCGAGGGUCGUGUGAGGCUUUUACCGCAACACCGACACGAAAGAGUGCACGAUCAAACCACCAUAAUAAACGAUAGGGCAGGGAAACCCCUCCGGGGGAUGUACCGGUCCGUUCGGGUGGGCCUUGCUGUGUGCUUCUGACCUAUCAACUAGAUGGCAGCGUAAAGGACAUGCUAUGGUGACAACGGGUACAGAGGAUAAGGGUUCGAUCCUGGAGAGUGGGCCUGAGAGAUUGCUCACACUUCUAAGGAAGGCAGCAGGCGCGUAACGUUCCCAUUGGGCAAAGCCUGAGGGCGUUAGGGGACAUAUGAAUGCUUGCCAUAUGGUAGGCAAUUCAAAUGGGUUCGUUCUAAACAACCCU
rnacentral:rRNA from 2 species